rnacentral:ncRNA from 1 species
CWAAUAAAAGUCCUAUAGACGCAAAGAUUUGGUCCUAAUCUUAUUAUCAACAUAUACUUAACUUACACAUGCAAGUCUCAGCAGCCCAGUGAGAACGCCCUUAAACCUUUAAGGAAUAGGAGCCGGUAUCAGGCACAGACUUCCUAGCCCACAACACCUAGCAUCGUCACACCCCCAAGGGUACUCAGCAGUGAUUAACAUUGACAAUAAGCGACAGCUUGACUCAGUUAAAGUAUAGAAAGCCGGCUAACCCGGUGCCAGCCGCCGCGGCUACACCGUCGGACUUAAGUUGAUAGUCAACGGCGUUAAGCGUGUUUUAAGUAAAUAACAAUUAGAGUUAAAUCUAAGCCAAGCCGUGACACGCUUGCUCUAUAGAGACUUAUAAUCGAAAGUUACCCUAAUUAACCUCUUGAAUCCACGACAGUUAAGAAACAAACUGGGAUUAGGUACCCCACUAUGCUUAACCGUAAAAUAUACACUCACACCCAGAUCGCCAGAGUACUACAAGCCCAAGCUUAAAACUCAAAGGACUUGACGGCGUCCCACCCACCUAGAGGAGCCUGUUCUAUAAUCGAUAAUCCCCGAUAAACCCAACCACUUCUUGCUAAUCAGUCUGUAUACCUCCGUCGCAAGCUUACCAUAUGAAUGACAAUUAGUGAGCAAAAUGAUUACUACACCAACACGUCAGGUCAAGGUGCAACCUAUGAACUGGAAAGAAAUGGGCUACAAUUUCUAAUUUUAGAACAAACGAAAAAUUAUAUGAAAAAUAAUUAUGAAGGCGGAUUUAGUAGUAAGGGGCAAAUAAAGUGUUCCCCUUAAUUCGGCACUGGGACGUGUACACACCGCCCGUCACCCUCUUCGACCAAAAUUAUAUUACGUUAAUAACAAUACUCAUCAUUAGAGAAGAGGCAAGUCGUAACAUGGUAAGCAUACUGGAAAGUGUGCUUGGAUUAACAAAAUAUAGCUUAAUUAAAGCACUUCGCUUACACCGAACUUGAUAUCUGUUUAACCCGGAUUAUUUUGAGCCUUAAACUCCGCUCUUCCACAACAAAUGCCUCCCCCCACUUUUUCCACCCCUAAAACAUUUUAACAACCUAGUAAAGGCGACUAAAAAUUUUAUAAGAGCUAUAUAUAAAGUACCGCAAGGGAAAAGUGAAAUAGAAAUGAAAUAAACAUAAAGCAAAUCAAAGCAGAGAUUAAUACUCGUACCUUUUGCAUCAUGGUCUAGCUAGUCCUAACAAGCAAAUUAUAUUAUACAGCUUGUACCCCCGAAACCAGGCGAGCUACUCAAAAACAGCCUUUAAGGGCCAACCCGUCUCUGUUGCAAAAGAGUGGGAAGAUUUUUAAGUAGAGGUGAUAUGCCUAUCGAGCCUAGAGAUAGCUGGUUGCUCAAGAAAAGAACCUCAGUUCUGCCUCAAAUUCCCCUAUAAUAUUCAAUAACCCUUUUGAGAGUUAUUCAAAUACGGUACAGCCUAUUUGACAAUGGAUACAACCAAAAACUAAGGGUAAUGUAACUUUUAUUUAACUAAGUCGGCCUAAAAGCAGCCACCUUAAAAAAGCGUCAUAGCUUAAUUAAUAUUUUAAUUAAUAACCCCCAUCAUACAAAACCCUGCCCCAGUAUUGAGCACUUUUAUAAUCUAUAAAUGAUAUUAUGCUAGAACUAGUAACAAGAAAAUUUCUCCAAAAUGUAAGUAUACCUCAAACAUGAACAUCACUAUAACUAGUAAUAACUUUCUUCUAGAAACCCCUACUAAAUUUUAAUAUUAAACUUACACAAGAACACUCCUGGAAAGAUUAAAACAAAAAGAAGGAACUCGGCAAAUUUUAGUCUCGCCUGUUUACCAAAAACAUCACCUUUUGACCAAAUACAAAAGGCCUAGCCUGCCCAGUGAUUAUUUCAACGGCCGCGGUACCCUAACCGUGCAAAGGUAGCACAAUCACUUGUUCUUUAAAUAAGGACUGGUAUGAACGGCACCACGAAGACUAUACUGUCUCCUUUCCGCAAUCAGUGAAACUGAUCUUCCCGUGAAGAAGCGGGAAUUAUUAUAUAAGACGAGAAGACCCCAUGGAGCUUUAAAUUAAACACCAACUGCCUAAUUAAUAUCACAAAAGCCUGGCAAAUCUGACUGUUGACUUUCGGUUGGGGUGACCACGGAGUAAAAUAAAACCUCCACAAUGAAUGGGCUAAACCCCUAAUUUAAGAAUUACACCUCUAAAAAUCAAGACAUUGACAUUUAUUGACCCAAACUUUUGAUCAAUGAACCAAGUUACCCUGGGGAUAACAGCGCAAUCCAUUUCAAGAGCUCCUAUCGACAAAUGGGUUUACGACCUCGAUGUUGGAUCAGGAUAUCCUAGUGGUGCAGCCGCUACUAAGUCGUUGUCACGAUCAUAUCUACGUGAUCUGA